GACGAACGCUGGCGGCGUGCUUAACACAUGCAAGUCGAACGGAAAGGCCCUGCUUUUGUGUGGUGCUCGAGUGGCGAACGGGUGAGUAACACGUGAGUAACCUGCCCUUGACUUUGUGAUAACUUCAGGAAACUGGGGCUAAUACCGGCUAGGAGCUCCUGCUGCAUGGUGGGGGUUGGAACGUUUCGGCGGUUGGGGAUGUACUCGCGGCUUAUCAGCUUGUUGGUGGGGUAGUGGCUUACCCAGGCUUUGACGGGUAGCCGGCCUGAGAGGGUGAACGGCCACAUUGGGACUGAGAUAUGGACCAGACUCCUACGGGAGGCAGCAGUGGGGAAUAUUGCACAAUGGGCGGAAGCCUGAUGCAGCAACGCUGCGUGCGGGAUGACGGCCUUCGGGUUGUAAACCGCUUUCGCCUGUGACGAAGCGUGAGUGACGGUAAUGGGUAAAGAAGCACCGGCUAACUACGUG
rnacentral:rRNA from 1 species